CACCGUCGUCACGGACGAGUGCUUGGUAUCUAAAUACAAAACAAUAAGUGAUGCCGUCACGUCGUGAUUCGCUAUUGGAAUGCAAUUAUCUGUACGUGCCACGUGUCACGAUCUUGAGAUAACCACAAUUUGCUCUUGUCGAGAAGAUAAUCGACGCGAACCUUCAAACAAACGCCUGCUGGAUUCAUUUCAAAACAAAUUUUUACAAGAGAAUGGAACGAGCGGUCUGCCCCUCAAUUAUGCGAUUGAAACAGCAAACGAACAAAAGCGACGUCACAAUGACGCCUCGAUACUUAUGCUGAUUUACGGGUAUGUAGCAUUCAAAUCACGGUAACGUAACGCUCGUUCCUGGCACGCGGCCAAUACAACGUUUUACAUGGAACUCAUUCAUGCGAAAUUACGCAAGCGAUCGGCGCAUAAAUCGGUGCAUCCCGUCAAGAACGGGAACGAAAUACGCGGCGCAGAGAGAAUGAUCCUAAAGAUCAUAAAUCAGGAUGAAAUGAAGGAAUGAAAUAGUGGCUUUACUUCAAGGAUCAUAUAUGGAAUGGCCGAUGCAAACUUCUUUUCACAUGUAAAUUUAUUCAGACGUUAACCCUUUUCAAAAACCAUACAGUUAACCCUUCAUUACUCGCGUGUAGCAUUCCCACUU